CCUACGGGUGGCUGCAGUGGGGAAUAUUGCACAAUGGGCGCAAGCCUGAUGCAGCCAUGCCGCGUGUGUGAAGAAGGCCUUCGGGUUGUAAAGCACUUUCAGCGGGGAGGAAGGCGUUAAGGUUAAUAACCUUGUCGAUUGACGUUACCCGCAGAAGAAGCACCGGCUAACUCCGUGCCAGCAGCCGCGGUAAUACGGAGGGUGCAAGCGUUAAUCGGAAUUACUGGGCGUAAAGCGCACGCAGGCGGUCUGUCAAGUCGGAUGUGAAAUCCCCGGGCUCAACCUGGGAACUGCAUUCGAAACUGGCAGGCUAGAGUCUUGUAGAGGGGGGUAGAAUUCCAGGUGUAGCGGUGAAAUGCGUAGAGAUCUGGAGGAAUACCGGUGGCGAAGGCGGCCCCCUGGACAAAGACUGACGCUCAGGUGCGAAAGCGUGGGGAGCAAACGGGAUUAGAUACCCUGGUAGUC
rnacentral:rRNA from 1 species